CGAAUGCUGACAUAAGUAACGAUAAAGCGGGUGAAAAGCCCGCUCGCCGGAAGACCAAGGGUUCCUGUCCAACGUUAAUCGGGGCAGGGUGAGUCGACCCCUAAGGCGAGGCCGAAAGGCGUAGUCGAUGGGAAACAGGUUAAUAUUCCUGUACUUGGUGUUACUGCGAAGGGGGGACGGAGAAGGCUAUGUUGGCCGGGCGACGGUUGUCCCGGUUUAAGCGUGUAGGCUGGUUUUCCAGGCAAAUCCGGAAAAUCAAGGCUGAGGCGUGAUGACGAGGCACUACGGUGCUGAAGCAACAAAUGCCCUGCUUCCAGGAAAAGCCUCUAAGCAUCAGGUAACAUCAAAUCGUACCCCAAACCGACACAGGUGGUCAGGUAGAGAAUACCAAGGCGCUUGAGAGAACUCGGGUGAAGGAACUAGGCAAAAUGGUGCCGUAACUUCGGGAGAAGGCACGCUGAUAUGUAGGUGAAGUCCCUCGCGGAUGGAGCUGAAAUCAGUCGAAGAUACCAGCUGGCUGCAACUGUUUAUUAAAAACACAGCACUGUGCAAACACGAAAGUGGACGUAUACGGUGUGACGCCU
rnacentral:rRNA from 1 species